rnacentral:rRNA from 1 species
AGUGAACGCUGGCGGUAGGCCUAACACAUGCAAGUCGAACGGCAGCACAGUAAGAGCUUGCUCUUACGGGUGGCGAGUGGCGGACGGGUGAGGAAUACAUCGGAAUCUACUUUUUCGUGGGGGAUAACGUAGGGAAACUUACGCUAAUACCGCAUACGACCUACGGGUGAAAGCAGGGGAUCUUCGGACCUUGCGCGAUUGAAUGAGCCGAUGUCGGAUUAGCUAGUUGGCGGGGUAAAGGCCCACCAAGGCGACGAUCCGUAGCUGGUCUGAGAGGAUGAUCAGCCACACUGGAACUGAGACACGGUCCAGACUCCUACGGGAGGCAGCAGUGGGGAAUAUUGGACAAUGGGCGCAAGCCUGAUCCAGCCAUACCGCGUGGGUGAAGAGGGCCUUCGGGUUGUAAAGCCCUUUUGUUGGGAAAGAAAAGCAGCAGGUUAAUACCCCGCUGUUCUGACGGUACCCAGAGAAUAAGCACCGGCUAACUUCGUG